AAGGUUUUUGCAUCCUGAUAUCGUAGCAGCUUAUGAAUAUAUUUUUAUAUGGGGUGAAGAUCUGGGAGUAGAGCACUUUAAUGGAAACAAGUACAUUGAGCUGGUUAAGAAACAUGGUUUAGAGAUCUCUCAACCUGGUCUUGAACCCAACAAUGGACUGACAUGGGAGAUGACAAAGAGGAGAGGAGACCAAGAAGUUCACAAGUGAGUCUCACCCUUUCCCCCCCAUCUCAAUUUUCAUGAAGUCACACUCACAAGCUUACAUAUCAUCUGAGACUUCUCUUCAGUGCCUUGUAUUUAAAAAUGAUUCUAGAUUUUACUACAUGUCAGGGAUGCAAUUGAGAGACCGGGCUGGUGUAAUGAUCCUCGUCAGCCUCCUUGUGCAGCAUACUCCUUCCUCUUUUCUUCUCCUUCAUUUUUCGUAUUUUAGGCUUGCACCAUGCGUACAUGAUUUUCAAUACUAAUCAUUUGUUGUGAUUUCUCACAGCACCAACAAUGAAAUUGUGAGGAAUAUCAGUUUAGUUAAAUCA